rnacentral:rRNA from 1 species
AACCUUUACAAUGCACGAAAGUGUGAUAAGGGAACCCCAAGUGCUCAUGUUUUACAUGGGCUUUUGCCAAGUGUAAAAAGCUUGGAGAAUAAGUGGUGGGUAAGACUGGUGCCAGCAGCCGCGGUAACACCAGCGCCACGAGUGGGAACCAUGUUUAUUUGGCCUAAAGCGUCCGUAGCUGGCUUAGUAAGUCCUUUGUGAAAGUGUCAAGCUCAACUUGAUAAAAUACAGAGGAAACUACUAAACUAGAGACCGGGAGGAGUCAGGGGAAUUCUAUGGGGAGCGGUAAAAUGCUAUAAUCCUUAGAGGACCACCUGUGGCGAAGGCGCCUGACUAGAACGGAUCUGACAGUGAGGGACGAAAGCUAGGGGAGCGAUCCGGAUUAGAUACCCGAGUAGUCCUAGCCGUAAACGCUGUGAGCAAGGCGUUGCAUAUUCUAUAGGGAUAUGCAGUGUCGAAACGAAGGUGUUAAGCUCACCGCCUGGGAAGUAUGGUCGCAAGACUGAAACUUAAAGGAAUUGGCGGGGGAGCAC